UGCAAGUCGACGGUAACAUUUCUAGCUUGCUAGAAGAUGACGAGUGGCGGACGGGUGAGUAAUGCUUGGGAACUUGCCUUUGCGAGGGGGAUAACAGUUGGAAACGACUGCUAAUACCGCAUAAUGUCUUCGGACCAAACGGGGCUUCGGCUCCGGCGCAAAGAGAGGCCCAAGUGAGAUUAGCUAGUUGGUAAGGUAACGGCUUACCAAGGCGACGAUCUCUAGCUGUUCUGAGAGGAAGAUCAGCCACACUGGGACUGAGACACGGCCCAGCCUCCUACGGGAGGCAGCAGUGGGGAAUAUUGCACAAUGGGGGAAACCCUGAUGCAGCCAUGCCGCGUGUGUGAAGAAGGCCUUCGGGUUGUAAAGCACUUUCAGUUGUGAGGAAAAGUUAGUAGUUAAUACCUGCUAGCCGUGACGUUAACAACAGAAGAAGCACCGGCUAACUCCGUGCCAGCAGCCGCGGUAAUACGGAGGGUGCGAGCGUUAAUCGGAAUUACUGGGCGUAAAGCGCACGCAGGCGGUUUGUUAAGCUAGAUGUGAAAGCCCCGGGCUCAACCUGGGAUGGUCAUUUAGAACUGGCAGACUAGAGUCUUGGAGAGGGGAGUGGAAUUCCAGGUGUAGCGGUGAAAUGCGUAGAUAUCUGGAGGAACAUCAGUGGCGAAGGCGACUCCCUGGCCAAAGACUGACGCUCAUGUGCGAAAGUGUGGGUAGCGAACAGGAUUAGAUACCCUGGUAGUCCACACCGUAAACGCUGUCUACUAGCUGUGUGUGCCUUUAAGGCGUGCGUAGCGAAGCUAACGCGCUAAGUAGACCGCCUGGGGAGUACGGCCGCAAGGUUAAAACUCAAAUGAAUUGACGGGGGCCCGCACAAGCGGUGGAGCAUGUGGUUUAAUUCGAUGCAACGCGAAGAACUUACCUACACUUGACAUGCUGAGAAGUUACUAGAGAUAGUUUCGUGCCUUCGGGAACUCAGACAC
rnacentral:rRNA from 1 species